GUAGUAUUCCCUCUGUCCCAAAAUUCUUGUCUUACAUUUGUUUAGAUACAGAUGUAUCUAACACAUCCGUAUUUAGACAAAUUUAAGACAAGAAUUUUGGGACAGAGGGAGUACAAA
rfam:Triticum aestivum genome assembly, contig: Triticum_aestivum_CS42_TGACv1_scaffold_577406_7BL